CAGCAGCCGCGGUAAUACGAAGGGGGCUAGCGUUGCUCGGAAUGACUGGGCGUAAAGGGCGCGUAGGCGGCGAUCAAAGUCAGGCGUGAAAUUCCUGGGCUCAGCCUGGGGGCUGCGUUUGAUACUUGGUUGCUAGAGUGAGGAAGAGGGUCGUGGAAUUCCCAGUGUAGAGGUGAAAUUCGUAGAUAUUGGGAAGAGCACCGGUGGCGAAGGCGGCGACCUGGUCCUUUACUGACGCUGAGGCGCGAAAGCGUGGGGAGCAAACAGGAUUAGAUACCCCCGUAGUCCCUGUCUCUUAUAC
rnacentral:rRNA from 1 species